rnacentral:lncRNA from 1 species
AAAGGGAAGGACAGGGUCUGGAUAAAUGGGACACCAUCUCCCUGUACAGCCACCUUCAGUGUCCAGUGCCCACACAGAUUCAGCCAGUGUGUACUUUCAAUACCAUCCAGACCAGGGAGAGAAAGGGCAGACAUAGACAGGCCAGGAAGCCAAGGAAAACUCUAUGUGGCCCUUCAGAGGACCACAUGUCUCUUGGGGGCAGGGAUGAUAGGAAAUAAUGUUCACAGACAUCCCUUGGAACUGUGUGGUGAUUGUGUGAGACACAGAAUGCCAGCACUGCCCUCGGGUCAGGGGCCCAAGGAAGAUUGGGAUGUCUGUCACAGGCCACUCAGCGCUGGAAUCCUCAGGGAUAGUGACCACGUCACAGGCUUCAUUCUUGGCAUGAAAGCCUUUUGGCUCAUCAGGAAGCGUCAGAGACACCGAAGUCCAAGGACAGAGCCCAUGGCUGCUCCCAUCAAGUGCCAGGUGGACAGUAAAGAGGCAGAAUGUGAAUAAACAAGUCCACAGAGCCACUGACACGAGAGUGGUGACAGCCGUCCUUUCCAUGAGAGGCCCCUUACCACCCUGGACCCUGGCCAAAAUACCAAUCCAUUCAACUCAUCCAUCAGCCUGACAGGCCCUGAUUCAGUUGCCC